rnacentral:rRNA from 1 species
GAUGAACGCUGGCGGCGUGCCUAAUACAUGCAAGUCGAGCGAACGGACGAGAAGCUUGCUUCUCUGAUGUUAGCGGCGGACGGGUGAGUACCACGUGGAUAACCUACCUAUAAGACUGGGAUAACUUCGGGAAACCGGAGCUAAUACCGGAUGAUAUUUUGAACCGCAUGGUUCAACAGUGAAAGACGGUCUUGCUGUCACUUAUAGAUGGAUCCGCGCUGCAUUAGCUAGUUGGUAAGGUAACGGCUUACCAAGGCAACGAUGCAUAGCCGACCUGAGAGGGUGAUCGGCCACACUGGAACUGAGACACGGUCCAGACUCCUACGGGAGGCAGCAGUAGGGAAUCUUCCGCAAUGGGCGAAAGCCUGACGGAGCAACGCCGCGUGAGUGAUGAAGGUCUUCGGAUCGUAAAACUCUGUUAUUAGGGAAGAACAUAUGUGUAAGUAACUGUGCACAUCUUGACGGUACCUAAACAGAAAGCCACGGCUAACUACGUG